CCGCUGCACGCGUAUCCUCGCUGCUGCCCUGCGCGCCGUCGCCCUGCUUGACGCGAGGACGCCACUGCCUCCGCUCAUCUGUCGUUCGCCACCAAGGGAGCAAGUAUUCCACUCGUGUGGCUAGAGUGUGCUGUGUCAAACACCACAAUGGCUUCUUUGUUUACAGGAAGCUUGCGUAGAUGAGCUCUGACGUCAUGUCCAUGGCGAGUUAGAGUUCUGUUGUGAAAGCCCCACACAGAGAGGCUGGUGCACGCAUUGAUGACCACAACCUUUGGAGGUGACGCAGGUGGUAGCCUCUGUGUCGACGAGCUCCCGCGACACGCUACGGAAGCUUCGAUGCCGAGGUCCACAUCCACAGGUAGGUAUUUUCUGGUGAUGUUUGUGAUUGAGUUAUUCAUAUAUACUUACAUGGUGCAAAGCAGAAACGCUUCUUCAUUUUGGACCAGUCACGUAAGGUGAGCUAAAUGACCUUGACCAUUUUUUAGUUCAGUUCUCAGUUAUUGCGAAAAAUAGCUACAAACGGUGUGAUGAUGCAAAUAGUGUGUAGUUCAAUUAUUACCCUUACUGUAACAACUGAGUCCAUGUAAUGUAUGAUGAAGCCAGUCUUGGCUAGAGUGGAUCGGUAAAUUGAUUUAUGGAAUCAUAUAUUUUAAUACUGUGCAUGGAUCACAACUGAUGACCGUUAAUUGACAGCUCGUAUGUGUAAUUUGUUCUGACCACUUACUUGAAGUUAUAAUUCUAAUAUAUGCUAUAUUAUUACUGAAAAGUGUUAAGUGUGUGAAUUAUUGGCCGCAAAUCGGCAAAAACCAAAAUUAGCUUAUUCUGAACAUACAUCAUACUGUGCUGAUUUCUUGAAAUUAUUUAAUCAUACGCAGAAGCUUGAUGCACCUGCAAACAUAUUGGAAUUUGAAGCAAGGCGAGAGGAUGCCGUGUUCCUCACUGCGCGCGGCCUCGGCGUGCCUGCGUGUGGCAGUAAAUAGACGAGCCGUCGCCGCCAACCAUGCCACCGGCCAAC